rnacentral:rRNA from 1 species
ACCGGCGCACGGGUGAGUAACGCGUAUCCAACCUGCCCACCACUUGGGGAUAACCUUGCGAAAGUAAGACUAAUACCCAAUGACGUCUCUAGAAGACAUCUGAAAGGGAUUAAAGAUUUAUCGGUGAUGGAUGGGGAUGCGUCUGAUUAGCUUGUUGGCGGGGUAACGGCCCACCAAGGCAACGAUCAGUAGGGGUUCUGAGAGGAAGGUCCCCCACAUUGGAACUGAGACACGGUCCAAACUCCUACGGGAGGCAGCAGUGAGGAAUAUUGGUCAAUGGGCGAGAGCCUGAACCAGCCAAGUAGCGUGCAGGAUGACGGCCCUAUGGGUUGUAAACUGCUUUUAUAAGGGAAUAAAGUGAGCCUCGUGAGGCUUUUUACAUGUACCUUAUGAAUGAGGACCGGCUAAUUCCGUGCCAGCAGCCGCGGUAAUACGGAAGUUCCGGGCGUUAUCCGGAUUUAUUGGGUUUAAAGGGAGCGUAGGCCGGAGAUUAAGCGUGUUGUGAAAUGUAGAUGCUCAACAUCUGCACUGCAGCGCGAACUGGUUUCCUUGAGUACGCACAAAGUGGGCGGAAUUCGUGGUGUAGCGGUGAAAUGCUUAGAUAUCACGAAGAACUCCGAUUGCGAAGGCAGCUCACUGGAGCGCAACUGACGCUGAAGCUCGAAAGUGCGGGUAUCGAACAGGAUUAGAUACCCUGGUAGUCCGCACGGUAAACGAUGGAUGCCCGCUGU